rnacentral:rRNA from 1 species
CAGUUCGGUCCCUAUCUGCCACGGGCGUUGGAUGAUUGAGAGGAUCUGCCUUUAGUACGAGAGGACCGAGGUGGACGAACCUCUGGUGUGCCAGUUAUUCUGCCAAGGGUAAGUGCUGGGUAGCCAUGUUCGGAAGGGAUAACCGCUGAAAGCAUCUAAGUGGGAAGCCCACCUCAAGAUGAAUCAUCCCUGGGGAUUUAAUCCCCCUGAAGAGGCCAGGGAGACUACCUGGUUGAUAGGCUGCAGGUCUACGUACAGCAAUGUACUCAGCCGAGCAGUACUAAUCCUUCGUGAGGCUUGACCAUAUU